AAGGAGCAUCUGCAUUACUCGGUUCGAAGAGUCGAACUCGGGGAUGCCAGAGCCGUUCAUGUUCUCGUAUGUAGAACUGCGGUGCUCAUGGGUGGAACACUGACUGACUCAUCGCGAAUGGCUGAGGAAAAUUCCGACGCUGCGGUGAUAUACCGACACACUAUUGGGUCCUGAAAGAACACGCGAGUGAUCUUUCCAGGCAAGAACGACGAGACUGGUUCUUCAGUCAUACCGCCGGCCGUUUGGGUCGGGCUGGUGCUGAGCCGAGGACGAGUCUUGUGUGUUGUUUGAGAACUGCACAGUGGACGCGAGCAUCUUUGUUA
rnacentral:misc_RNA from 1 species